rnacentral:rRNA from 1 species
GGCUCAGAAUGAACGUUGGCGGCGUGGAUUAGGCAUGCAAGUCGAACGAAUCCCGUGGGGGUAACUCUGCGGGGGAAGUGGCGAAAGGGGCAGUAAAGCGUGGGUAACUUGCCCCGGGGUCCGGGAUAGCCUUCCUAACGGAAGGGUAAUACCGGGAGUCGUGGCGGGGGGGCAUCCUCCUGUCAGGAAAGUUCCGACGCCCCGGGAGAGGCUCACGUGGUAUUAGCUAGUUGGUGAGGUAACGGCUCACCAAGGCCAAGAUGCCUAGCAGGUGUGAGAGCACGACCUGCGCCACUGGCACUGAGACACUGGCCAGACUCCUACGGGAGGCUGCAGUCGAGGAUCUUCGGCAAUGGGCGCAAGCCUGACCGAGCGACGCCGCGUGUGCGAUGAAGGCCUUCGGGUUGUAAAGCACUGUCGGGGGGAAGAAAAGGGCAACCUUGAUCGACCCCCGGAGGAAGCACGGGCUAAGUUCGUGCCAGCAGCCGCGGUAAGACGAACCGUGCAAACGUUAUUCGGAAUCACUGGGCUUAAAGGGCGCGUAGGCGGGCUCGCCAGUCAGGGGUGAAAGCCUCCAGCUCAACUGGAGAAGUGCCUUUGAUACUGCGAGUCUCGAGGGAGGUAGGGGCGUGCGGAACUUCCGGUGGAGCGGUGAAAUGCGUAGAUAUCGGAAGGAACACCGGUGGCGAAAGCGGCGCGCUGGACCUCUUCUGACGCUGAGGCGCGAAAGCCAGGGGAGCAAACGGGAUUAGAUACCCCGAUAGUCCUGGCCCUAAACGAUGGGUACCAGGUAGUGGACUUACAUGGGUUCACUGCCGAGGCAAAAGUGUUAAGUACCCCGCCUGGGGAGUAUGUUCGCAAGGCUGAAACU